rnacentral:rRNA from 1 species
GGAGAGUUUGAUCCUGGCUCAGGAUGAAUGCUGGCGGCGUGCCUAACACAUGCAAGUCGAGCGGCAGCGAGUUUUACACUGAAUUCUGGAAGCUUCUGGGUAAUAUAGAAGAUUUAUUCAAGAAUUUUGUGUAAAAUGUCGGCGAGCGGCGGACGGCUGAGUAACGCGUAGGAAUUUGCCCCAAAGUGAGGAAUAACUGCCCGAAAGGGUAGCUAAUGCCGCAUAUGGUCUUCGGAUUAAAGCCUUCGGGCGCUUUGGGAGAAGCCUGCGUUGGAUUAGGUAGUUGGUAGGGUAAUGGCCUACCAAGCCGACGAUCCAUAGCUGGUCUGAGAGGAUGAUCAGCCAGACUGGAACUGAGACACGGUC